UGAUAAUGGACUGAACCUCUGAACCUUCAGAUUUGGCAGCCAGAGGGAGGGUACGGAGGAGGUUGGCAGGCACUGGACUUGGCCCAUUCUGUGCUCCUGAGAACCAACCGUGCUGAGAACAGGGCCUGUGGAGAAGGCAACAAGCAAUCACCCUACUCCAAACGGAGGCUGAAGGGGUUAACCCAGCCAUAGCUAAUUGAGCAGAGGGAUUCAGCCUCAGCCUGGAGGAGGGCCUGUUCUAUUGCUGCCUCCCUUUGGAUUGCCUUUCGUGUUGCCAUGGUGAUCCCUAGGCUACCCAGGAUACCCAUUGCUGCCCCAGAAUUCUCUGCUUGAGCAGAGCGGCUCUCCCUUCAGCCUGUUUAGAACACCUUUCUUUUUACUAUGAUAUGCUCAAGCUCUGCAAAAACCAACACCGCUUUGUCCAUACAGACCACAGGAGUGAAUAAUUCAGAGUCCUCUGUCCUGGGCCAGGACUAAGGCUUCUUGACAGCGCCACCGUGAAGAAGAUGGAAAGCAGGUUCUGAAAAGGAGUCAGGUACCGGCAAACCAACAUCACUGGCAGAAUGCAGCUCAACCCUCUGUCUCAGGAAACUUGGAGACAUGGACAACACCGUGCCUACUCCAAUGUCACUGAAAGGUUGUCUUGCUUGACUCUCCAGGAGCCCAGUGUCAGCCAUCUCUACCAGAUUCUCUCUCCUGGACCCAGAAGAUCCUUCUUGCUUGAUGACUCUUUAUCCAAUUCCAUCCAGCGAGAGUCCCUGGCUGUUCCCACUGGACUUGAGGACAGCGCCUCCAGUGGUCAGCAGCAGCAGGAGCAGCAGCAGCAGCACAGAGCUGUCCCUGAGGAUCUGGAAGAGGAGGAAAUCUCCCCAACAGACGUGAAAUACCGCCUGCAGCUGCUCGAGGAGGCUCCAUUAGGGAGCAUGAGUUCCAGUGUACACAGCCAGUGCCACAAGCCUGGGGGGAUGCCAUUCAGCAAAAACCAGAGAGAGUGGUUCAAGCCCUGGACCGUGACAAACCCUGAGGCUGAGCUUUCCCAUUCAGGUCACACCCAGGGCAGAAGAGCAACACCAAGAGGACAGCUGAGACAUGUGGAGUAUGACAGCCAGGACCAGGACACCCAAGUCCUAGUGUGGAGUCAUGCCCUCUUCCCUGGUCUAGACAAGAGCAGUCAGGGAGUCAUCCAAUCCGCACAGCACGUGUCGAGGCAGAAGGGAACAGAAUCCGGUUGGUGGUCUAUGACCCAUGCACAUCAUGAGAAGAGCCAGACAAAGCAUGGGACAGCCUUUGUGGGGACAAAGAGAACUGCCAAGUUUAAUGAUGCUACAACAGCCAGGAUGCCCUCUCUGCCACCUCUCAAGCUCCUGGAGAAAAAAGGGAAGAAUAGGUGUCCCCCCAACACAGCUGGGGUCUUCCAAGGCAGGUUACAAUCUGAAGUGACCAGCAAGCAGAUCUUCCAAGACUGGAGAACUCAGUCCCAAGGGCGCUUUGGAAGUAACGAAAAGCUCCCGGAGCCAUUUGAGGAUCAAGUCAACACGAAGGUAGCAUACAUGCCCUUGUUUUCUGAAAGAGUGAAGUUUGUAAGCCCCAGAACAGUUGCAUCAAACCUGAGACAAAUACAUUCUCAACUGAGUAAGAAAAGCCAAGCAGGUCAGCUCCAGAAUUUGGCCUCACAAAAGGAACACCUGGAGAAAAGGACUGCCUGAAUAAAUUCUGGGAAAUCACACCAGAAGCCUGUAAGCCCAGCACUCCACUGAGGCAGGACUGCUGUAAAUCCUAGGCCAGCAUGGGCUGUAGUAUGAGACGCUGUCACACAGACAGAAAUUCCAGACUCAGCUUUCAGCCCAGUUGCUGCCGCUUGUCAAAUGUCUUGGGAUGCUAGCAGAACAACGAUGAAUUGUUUCUUGGGGAAGGAAGGCGGCUCCAUGUCCCAGAAGGGCGAUUGUGUUCCAGAAGACCUGAGAAGAAAGGCUUGCUGGCUGUGGGAUUUACAGGUAUAAUCUUCUUACAGAAGUAACAGAAGCCCAAGGACAACACAGCUGCUGUGAGAAGCCUGUGCUAACUUCCCAUGGGGGCCAGGGUGGGGAGGGGCCCUCAUUUAUUCCCUAAGGGAUAGAGCACUGACUGACUUGGAUUUUGAGAUGGUAGCCUAAAUGAGCCUUGGAACCCCCAUCUUCCUGCCUGUCUCCCAAAUUCUGGAAUUACAAAUAUGUCACCAUGG